rnacentral:rRNA from 1 species
AUUGAACGCUGGCGGCACGCCUUACACAUGCAAGUCGAACGGCAGCACGGGUGCUUGCACCUGGUGGCGAGUGGCGAACGGGUGAGUAAUACAUCGGAACAUGUCCUGUAGUGGGGGAUAGCCCGGCGAAAGCCGGAUUAAUACCGCAUACGAUCUACGGAUGAAAGCGGGGGACCUUCGGGCCUCGCGCUAUAGGGUUGGCCGAUGGUUGAUUAGCUAGUUGGUGGGGUAAAGGCCUACCAAGGCGACGAUCAGUAGCUGGUCUGAGAGGACGACCAGCCACACUGGGACUGAGACACGGCCCAGACUCCUACGGGAGGCAGCAGUGGGGAAUUUUGGACAAUGGGCGAAAGCCUGAUCCAGCAAUGCCGCGUGUGUGAAGAAGGCCUUCGGGUUGUAAAGCACUUUUGUCCGGAAAGAAAUCCUUGGCCCUAAUACGGUCGGGGGAUGACGGUACCGGAAGAAUAAGCACCGGCUAACUACGUG